UCUCCGUAGGUGAACCUGCGGAGGGAUCAUUACAAGUGACCCCGGUCUUACCACCGGGAUGUUCAUAACCCUUUGUUGCCCGACUCUGUUGCCUCCGGGGCGACCCUGCCUUCGGGCGGGGGCUCCGGGUGGACACUUCAAACUCUUGCGUAACUUUGCAGUCUGAGUAAACUUAAUUAAUAAAUUAAAACUUUUAACAACGGAUCUCUUGGUUCUG
rnacentral:misc_RNA from 1 species